rnacentral:misc_RNA from 1 species
UCUCUCUCUCUCUCUCUCUCCAAAGAUUGUUUACUCCAUAGCACCAUUUUGAUGUUUUCCAACUCCAUGUCUUCUCUUUCCAACCACAUUUCAUCAUAUGCUAUAGCUAGCUAGUCUACUGCUACACUCUCAUCUUUCCUUUUUCUUGAUACUAUUAGCUUAUAGUCCCACUAUUUUAUCCUGUACACCCACAGUUUUAAGCGUCAAGCUCAAGUUCUCGUCCACUUUAUUCUUAUUUUCUCCCUUAAUCUAUUCACUAUCCAGUACCUAGUUUUUUCUCCGGUCACAAGCACACACACAUCCCUUUUUCAUCAGUCCUUCUGUUUUGCCUAAAUAAUAUCUAUUGUUGGUUCUCCCUCUCCAUAUUAAAACAAGACAACCUUUGCCAAGAAAAUAAAGAUCAUAUUCUUGAUGGGGUUCUUAGAGGCAAGUCUAGAUGACCAGUUGCCACCAGUAGUUGAGGCACCACAAGCAGUGGCGGAUCCAAGUUGCUAUUCACGUCGAUCCAUAGAAACACUGGUGGUUGUACUAGCUGUGAUCACUAUAGUAUGUGUUAUUGCAGGGAUUAUUGCUCGGCUGUGUGGUGGACGGCAUUUUGGCAGCAAUGGGGAGCAUGACAUAGAAGGCUGGGUAGAAAGAAGGUGCAGAAGUUGCAUUGAUGGUGGAGUGCCUACUGCACCACCACCAUCAGAAGAGCCAAAGCCAGCAACAGAAGAGGCAAAGAAGUGAAUAUGGUCAUAGAUCAAGUAUUAUCAAAGGCAACAUGAAAUGCCUUUUUUUUUUUUUGUUUUAAGGUAUCAUGAAAUGUUUUUCAAGUAUAUGAGGUGGUGCUGCAUGGUAGAACAGGUCUGGCAAUAUUAUCCACACAUUCAUACUAGUCCUAGGUAGCUUAGUGUUGUAACAGUCAUCUUCAUAUCAUAUAUUUUUAGGGCUAGAAGCAGUACAUUUUAGUGUCAAAGACUAGUGAUUUUUGUAUUACAAUGAUUGUGUAUUAUUAAGUCUCACCUUUGUUUUUCAACUGGACUGGGUUUAUGUUCUAUCUCUUACUGCUCAUCUGCAACUACACUACAUGGUAAUGCAGUCAUUAAGCUAGCAGUCCAUUGGUGAAAUGCCUGUCUGAUGAUUAUAGAACCAUUUAUAAACCAUUAAGCUAUGGGUUACAGUAUCAAGC